rnacentral:lncRNA from 1 species
UUUUGGAUCUCUGCACUCUUCGGGUGAGAAACGAAAAUCCUAACAUGACAAAUAGAUUCCUAAUGGGUACUGCGAUCCCACCGAUGCUAUGUACCUCACCUAACAGUUAUUGAUAACAUGCUCACUGAUGCAUAGACAACACUUUGCCCAGAUACUUUACUAAGCAUGUUGUCGCGACUUGAUCUCUAAGUCAUGUGAGCUCACCUAAUAGUUAUUGACUACACUCCUUAAUUAAGUCUGACCCACCAUUCACAAGUAGGUGCAA